ensembl:snoRNA
UUAGAACUUUCACAGGUCACCCCCAGGCAGUGGGGCUAGGAUUUGGUAGCUGGUGCUGAGAGAAAACUGUUGAUUGCAUCUUUGCCCUGGAAUGUACUAGACACAGUUAACACUCAAUGGUACAAAG